CCGGUGUCAUGGCGCCAAAGUGCCUGUCCUGAACACAAUGCUUGCAUUUCCGCCUUCUGUUGUUUCUACUGCCUGCGGUCUGUAUAGGGAAGACCCAGGAAGACCCUCAAUCCUCGCAAUGGAGGCAGUGACUUUUGAGGAUGUGGCUGUGAAUUUUACCGUAGAGGAGUGGGCUUUGCUGAAUCCAUCCCAAAAGAAGCUCUACAGAGAUGUGAUGGAGGAAACUUUUAGGAACAUGGCUGCUAUAGGAAGAGCCUGGGAUAACCAGGAAGUUGAGGAAGAAUGCAAAAAUUCCUGGAGAUAUCUAAGAAACGUAGAACUAGAGAAAUACUAUCAAUAUACAGCUUGGAAUCAAUGUAAAGAAGUAUUCCUUUGCAGUAGAGCUGCUAAUGUGGACAUGAAACAAGCUGGUUUAACACCAGCUGAAAGCCUUGCUUGUAGAGCUCCUCUGGUUGAGCAUUUGUCACGAAAUGUGCCCAUCGUAGCUCACACAGCACUGAAGCCAUAUAAAUACUUGAGAUCUGAAGAGAAUCUGUAUAAAUGUGAUCAACAUGGAAGAAACUGUGAUUUCCAGUCCUUUCAGAAACAUUCAGGGACAAAGGCUGGAGAGAAACCCUGUGAAUAUGAUCAAUGUGGGAAAUCCUACUCCGAUCUUAGUGAAAGAACUCACCUUACAGACAAGGCCUUUGUAUGUAAGAAAAAUUUGAAAGCUUCCAGCACAGACAGUGAUGUUCAGAUCCAUGAGAGAAAUCACAGUGAGGGGAAACCCUAUGUCUGUAAACAAUGUGGGAAAGCUUUCACCACACAUAGAUCUUGUGAAAUACAUGAAAGAACUCACACUGGGGAGAAACCCUAUGUAUGUAUGCAGUGUGGGAAAGCAUUCAGUACACGUAGUGCUUGUCAAAUACACGAAAGAGUUCAUACUGGGGAAAAACCCUAUGUAUGUAAGCAGUGUGGGAAAGCAUUUAGUACACGUGGUGCUUGUCAAAUACAUGAAAGAAGACACACUGGGGAGAAACCUUAUGUGUGUAAACAGUGUGGAGAAGCUUUCAUCACACGUGGUACUUGUCAAAGACAUGAAAGAGUUCACACUGGGGAGAAACCUUAUGUAUGUAAGCAAUGUGGGAAAGCAUUCAGUGCACGUAGUGCUUGUCAAAUACAUGAAAGGGUUCACACUGGGGAGAAACCCUAUGUAUGUAAGCAAUGUGGGAAAGCUUUUGUCACACGUGGUGAUUGUCAAAUACAUGAAAGAAUUCACACUGGGGAGAAGCCAUAUAUAUGUAAACAAUGUAGGAGAGCAUUCAGCACACAUAGUGCUUGUCAAAGACAUGAAAGGACUCACACUGGGGAGAAAUCUUAUGUAUGUAAGCAAUGUGGGAAAGCUUUCAUCACACGUGGUGAAUGUCAAAGACAUGAAAGAGUUCACACUGGGGAGAAACCCUAUGAAUGUAAGCAUUGUGGGAAAGCUUUCAUCACAAACAGUCAUUGCCGAACUCAUGAAAAAGUUCACACUGGGGAUAAAGCCUAUGAAUGUAAGGAAUGUGGGAAAGCUUUCAUCACACGUGGUGAAUGUCAGAGACAUGAAAGAAUUCACAGUGGGGAGAAACCCUAUGAAUGUAAACAGUGUGGGAAAGCUUUCCGUGUUCAAGGAUAUUGUCAAAUACAUGAAAGAGUUCACACUGGAGAGAAACCCUAUGUAUGUAAGCAAUGUGGAAAAGGUUUCAGCAGAAGCAGUUGCUGGCAAACACAUGAAAGAGCUCACACUGGGGAGAAGCCAUACAUAUGUAAGCAAUGUGGGAAAGCUUUGAGCACACGUAGUGCUCAUCAAAGACAUGAAAGAGCUCACACUGGGGAGAAACCCUAUGUAUGUAAGCAGUGUGGGAAAGGUUUGAGCACACGUGAUGCUUAUCAAAGACAUGAAAGAGCUCACACUGGUGAGAAAUCCUAUGUAUGUAAGCAAUGUGGGAAAGCUUUUGUCACACGUGGUGAAUGUCAAAGACAUGAAAGAGUUCACACUGGGGAGAAACCCUACGUAUGUAAGCAAUGUGGGAAAGCUUUCAGCACAAACAGUCAUUGUCAAAUACAUGAAAGAGUUCACACUGGGGAGAAACCCUAUGUAUGUAAGCAAUGUGGGAAAGCUUUCAGCACACGUGGAUAUUGUCAAAUACAUGAAAGAGUUCACACUGGGGAGAAACCCUAUGUAUGUAAGCAAUGUGGGAAAGCUUUCAGCACAAAGAGUCGUUGUCGAACACAUGAAAAAGUUCACAGUGGGGAGAAACCCUAUGUAUGUAAGCAAUGUGGGAAAGCUUUCUGCACACAUAGUGCUUGUCAAAGACAUGAAAGAGUUCACACUGGGGAGAAACCCUAUGUAUGUAAACAAUGUGGGAAAGCUUUGAGCACACAAGAUGCUCAUAAAAGACAUCAAAGAGCUCACACUGGGGAGAAGCCUUAUGUAUGUAAGCAAUGUGGGAAAGCUUUCAUCACACGUGGUGAGUGUCAAAGGCAUGAAAGAGUUCAUACUGGGGAGAAACCCUAUGUAUGUAAGCAAUGUGGGAAAGCUUUCAGAACAAACAGUCACUGUCAAACACAUGAAAAAGUUCACACUGGUGAUAAACCCUACAUACAUAAACAAUGUGGGACAGCGUACAUCACAUGUGGAUAUUACCAGAUAAAUGAAAGGGUUCACACUCUGGAGAAACCCUAUAUAUUUUAGCAAUGUGUAAAAGUUUUCAUCCCAUGUGGUGAAUGUCAAAGACGUGAAAGAAUUCUCACUGGAUAUUGAUGCUAAGUAUGUGAGCAGUGUGCAGACUUUCAGCACAUAUGAUUGUCCAAUGAAAAAUUCACUUGGGAGAAAUCAUAAGUAUGUAAGUAAUGUGGGAUAGAUGUCAGUCCACACACAUUAUGAACACAUGAAGUCUCACGGGAGAACCUUUAUAUAUGCGCACCUAUUUUUAAAAUCCUGUUGGAAAUUCUCAUGUGGUGGAGACUUUUAGAAGUAAAUAAUACAAAAGAUGUCAAUAUUUCUUGACAUUUUCCAGAAAAUACAAAUCUCAGUGAUAUCUAAAAGUACCUGCAUUGUAUGGUUUUUAGUAAAUCACUUGAAGAGAUCUAAAUUAUGUACCUGUGGGGUAUAAUAUAAAAGUAUUGAGUUGAUAUAAUUUUCUAUUUUUGAGUGGUUAAUCCUUGGUGUCUUUUAACUGUAUAUGGUGAAUUGAAAGCUACUUUUUACUUUCAAGUACAGUUAGCAUCUAUGUAGUUACUGUUUUGCCUUUAAAAUUGGGAUGUAUAGGCUAUUAAAAUCCUUAAAGUUUUUUGUAUCAGGGAUCAAACUCAGGACCUUGUGCUUGCAAAGCAGGCAUGGUACCACUGAGUGAAAUCCCUGGCUAAAAACAAACUUAAAUUAUUUGUAGUUAAUUGUUGGGAUUUUACCACAACAUUUGUUUUAAAUUUUUGGUGCAUACACUCCAUAUUUUGUGUUACAAAAAUGUUUUUUAAUUUGUUGCUAUAUUUUAUAUUAAGAUAUGCAUUGUCAGAUUUGUGAACAUGUGUUUUUGACAAAUUUGAGUUGUCACAAAACUUGAAAGUUAGCAAAUGUUAUGUUUUUAUAUUGUGACAAGAUACCUGCUUAUAUCCCAACAUCAUAUAUCAUGUACAUAAUGUUGCAUGUUUUUCUUAUUGGAGUCAACAUUAUCAUUUACAUAAAUUUUUAUAUUUUCUUCCCAGAAGAAUUUUACUUUUCAUGUUUAUAUUGCAAUGACUUUUAAUUUGGUGUUAAUUUUUCCACCACAUGUACCAAAAAUAAACUAUACUGCUGAGUUUUUGAUUGCCACAGACCAACAGGACCAUAACUCUUCUCCAAAAGGAUAUCAUAUUAGUAAUGUCUCCAGAAAGUGUAAAUGAUGCUAUGAUUUAUCAGUAACAAGACUUUCAGAGGAAUUUUUGUCAGCUGUUGAGGUGUUUUAGGGACAGUGGUUGCUAUUGAAUGUACAAGGCAAAUGCCUUUAUUGUAUUCCUUGAUGCUAUGAUGCCAUUGUAUCUUUGGUAAUCAUUGUUUUUACCUAAUAAGCUGAACUAAUGGCAUGAAACAAAAUGUAACUCAUACGAUGCAUCUGUCAGUUUGGUAAAGAGUGAGUUUGCUAAAUUAUAAUUCAGACUGUUUCACAAUUUUUGAGAUAAAUUUAUACAAUACAUUUCUCCUAAGAACCACUGUCUGAUGUUUGAUGUAUGUGACAAUUGCCUUCAACACACACUGGGCCAAGUUAUCUGCGUGAGUCCCAGUUGGUCUCCUUUGACCUGUAUUUUUUCUAUCUUUUUAACAUUGACCUAGUUUCUAAAAUGUUUUAUAUAGUUUUCUUGAAUACAAAAGCUACUCUUUCUGAUGGGGUUACAUUGUUUCAAACCUUUGGUAUGAAAACACGAGUGAGCAAUGCAUUAAAUAUCUGUAAUGCAUGGGGUAUAGCUUGCCCUAGCCUUAAUUAUGCUUAGACACAUAAAUUACUCACUAGUUAUGUAGUGUCAUCUAAAAGUAUGUCUUUUGCAUCUGAAAUAUCUGAUAUAAUUCAUGGAAUAUAGUACACUGCAGAGUACAUGUGCACACUUCUGCUUCUUACCAUCACCAGGAAGGUAUGUACUGUGUAUUGGUAUUGCAGGUGGUGAUAGAAUAUUGAAACUACAAAACAUCCUGAGUGCGUUUACUUUGCCAUUAUUUUACCAUGGAAAAAAUCUUAUUUUGUUUUUUUGGUUCUGGGGUUCAAACUGAGGACUUCGAGCCUGGCACAGUGUAGCUGAGCUAAAUCGCUGGCCUUUUACCAUGAAAAAAGUCUUGCUGGCCCUGCUGAUGGAUACUUGUAAUCCCAGCAACUCAGGAGGCAGAAGUGGGAGGAAAAAAAUUUCAGUCCAGCCUAUUUAGUGACACCCUCUCUCAAAAUACAUUUGAAAGUUCUGCAGAUGUAAUCCAGUGCUUUAGUACUCCUAGAUUUACUCCUCAGUAUCAAAAUUAUUUUAAUACUAAGAAUUACACACUAGUCCUUUUCUCACUGACCACUUAGCAGUUUACCCCAAGCAUCACUCAAUGAGCACAUUUGUUUAUGUACAGACUGUCCUGAGCAUCUUUCAGGCAGAUUUCACUUUAACCAGCCGAUACUGUAUUAAAUUUGAUAAAAUUAUUUUUGUAUUUAAUAUUAUAAAAAAUUAAUGAAAAAAUGCAAUAUUUGGCCAUCCUGUAUUUAUAUAAUUGGACUGGUAAGUGCUUAAUGUAUAGUCUUAGCACCAGGAUAGUCUGAGACAGGAUUAUCAUGGCUUUAAAGCUAACUUUGGGGGCCACUUAGCUAGGUGCCUUAGCAAACUAUGAAACAGUUGUCUUUAUCUGCAUUUGAAGUUUAAGGAAAGAAAUUUAGUGAAGAACAUAAACCUAGGGUAAGGUGAGAAAAAAAAAAUCAUGUUUUCAAAUCAUCAUUUUGUUUCUCGGGAAAUGUUCUUUUCAUGAAAAUAUUUGUAUAGCAUAUAUUCCUGCCUUUGAGUAAAGUAUAAGCAAUAAAAGAUGAAUGAGCCAGGCAGUACACAUUCUGAAUGUAGAGACAUAAAAACAAAGUAUUCUCAAUGCUAUUGCUGGUGUUUUUGGUAUAAAAUAAGGUAGGAUAACACAACAAACAUAAAAAAUUUUAUAAAAUUUGAAAACUUCUGCACAGACAUGGAUGCAAAAAAAAGCAUGAAAAAUAAUCCACAAUGAGUAUUUUGCCUGAUAUUCCUCAGAGAACUAAUAUCUGAAAAAAAUAGGCAAGUUAAAUGAAUAACACUUCUCAGACUACGUACAAAUUGCUAAUAAAUACCUGAAAAAAAGUUGAGCAUUUCUGUCCAAUAGAGAAAGGCCAGUUGGAACAUAAACUCAUUCCAGAAAGAUCACAUCACCAAAAACGAAAAAAUGUUUCAUGAGGCUGCAGGGGAAAAGGAAACAUUCAACAUUGGUGGGAUAAAUAGUUCAGCUACUACAGAAGUCAGUGUAUAGAGUAUUCAGAAAACUAAAAGUAAUGCAUUCAGUGUAGUGCUUCCUUUUGUGAAUGUCUUCCCCAAAGAAUUAAAGACAUCAUGUUUCAGUGAUCCAUGCAUAUUCCUGUUUACAGCAGCAAUACUCUUUUUCUAUUGGACAGCAGGGGUGAGUCCUGCUCUGUCAGCCACCAGAUACCAAGGAUAAACAACAAGUACCCCUCAGUGUACUCUGCUAAAAAUUAUAUGUGAUAUUUUAUUAUGAAAUGAGCUGUAUAUUAGAAUAUUCUUCCUGACUACAGGUCAAUAUAAGCAUGAUAAGCAUGUUAAUGUUGCAAGGGGAUCACUUACAUUCAUUAGAUUUGGUAUAUUAAAUGCAUAUUCAGUACAUUUUCCAGCUUUUGUGUUGAUCAAAUAUUUCCACUUUGUACCUCAAGGAACUGUAACCACUUCAAGUUUAUUGAGGUGGAGAUGUGCAUAACACCAAGUUCAUUAUAUUCUCUCCUGGUUCAUUGUUGUUCGUGUACUGCAAUGAAACAUAUGUAUACAUGUGUAUAUAAGAAUUUCUUUUUUUACUUUCCUUAUAACAGAUUAAAAACUUUUUUAAGAUUCUUAAAAUUUCUUUGUAUAAUUGGAGGCUGAAUACUCAUAUAACUCCCCAGGGUUAAACCUGGGGAAACACUGCUCAAAUGAAGCUGGAAGCUUAAGAAGAAGAACCAACCACAAUCAACCACAGCCCAAGAGGGAAGACUUUGAAGCCCCAUAAAGACCACCUAAUGAAGGUCCAUGUUCAAAAACUGAACACUAAUGACUACACCAAACAUCACACCUGUUUAAGAUAAUUCAAAUGAAUCACAUCUUCAAGAUGAAGGCAAACUGGAGGCUACAGCGAAAGAGGAAUCAAUCUCCUUUGGAGCUUUCUCAGCAGCAGUCUUCCCAUAGGUGGCCUCCAGCUGGAGAGAACACCAACAGAGUGAGUGUGAACAGUGCAAAGCUGGAGAGUGCUGAAGGCUAGAGACUCAUAUGCAGAAGCCAUGCAGAAGGCAGAAGCCACAGCCAUUGAGUGCCUAACUCCUUUCUGAGGAUCUGGUUCACCAUGGCACACCAUUUCUGCAGUCAAUCUUGCCCUCUACAUUGGGAACAUGUUUAACUGUCUGAAUGUGGAUGUUUCUUUUGAUCUUGGAUGAAGCAGAAUGGAAAGUGGGUGGAGGAGACCUGUGAAAUUACAGGCAUUUGAACAGAAGAGUUGCUUUCAAAACCAUGUUCUCCAAGAUCUUACUGAACAAGGGUCUCUUCUUGCUCGUGGUUUAAGUAUUCCGGUACUAGGAAAUCACUGCUCUGGAAGUAGUUUGCUAGCUCUGAUGCUUCAUGGUUCAGACCCCUCAGGUGCACGAUUAAAUUUUCGGACUUUGUGAACAUGGCGCGACAUGUUUUGCACUCAUAAAUCCGUGACUUGUGGAUAAUGUGCCGGGAAACCCCAAUAAGGUGUUUAUAUUCCUCCAAGAAAGUGAAAGUGCCACUACAUACACAUCUGGCACCGGAAACAACGUUUACCUUCAUGCUUUAGGUGGUGCGUCUUCAGCGAGUAAGCCCUCGCAGCGGUUACACUGAAAUGGUUUCAUUCUCGAGUGGAUGAGCAUAUAGUGUUUUAGGUUCUGAAUACCGGUGAAUCGCAUCCCACGGGUUGGACACUGAAAAGGUCUGUCUGGACCAUUUGGACUUGGUCGUUCCGCACUGUGGUCGUCGUCAUCGCAUGAGCAUUAGUGCUGGAAGUGCUUUGAAGGGCUCCUGUACCAUGCUAUUUCUGUGUUUAAGACUGCUGAACAUGACCUGAAACUUCUGAAUUUUGCUACUGCAGGAUACAUGGCCAAGGACUACAUUUUGGAGUUCCAAGUUUUGCUCUGGACUGGAAAAAAAUAGAAAGCAAAAUAUAUACUUUUGUUAUAGUUGUAAGGCAAAAUGAAGCCCAAUGUGGUUACACUAUAGCUUAGGCUAUGGGGUGUGAUAUCUUGGGGGCUGUGAGUCCUGAGUCAGCAGGACUCCAGUGCAGGUGCAUCUCACUAUCUCAGUGUAAAUAACUUAUAUAACCAAGGUUGAUUCUAGCACAUAACCAUUGUUGUGUAUUUUACUGUAAACCUAGAUUGCAUGUGGGUUGGGCAGCUGAGGACUGUGGUGAGUUUGCAGGGGCUGGGAGCUGCAAGGGUGGCUGGACAGAUAAGGAGGCAGCUGGGCAGCUGAGGACUGCUGUGAGGGUGUGCAGCUAAAUGGAGAGAUGGACUGCAGCUGAGCUGCUUAGCAGCUAAAUAAAGUCAAGUGAAACACA